AGACUUCUGGAUUUCUCAAAUUCUUCUGUGAACAGAAGAAGAAUAAAUCAAAGAAGAACUCUUACCUUGGGACUUGAAAAGGGAAAUGAGGAGCAACUAUAAAGUGUCUGUGUCUCAUGACCCUGUCAGAUUCUCAGGGAAAUGAACGUAUACAAGGCUACAGGCCAUCCCAGCAAAAGAGGCAACAGGCUUCUGACUCUUGAGGAAACCUCUGCCCGCCUGCCCUUCUCCCAUUGAUGGGAGGGCUCCUCCAGCACGCCACUAUUUUCUGGACUUUUCAAAGUCAGCAAGUAUGGCUUCCUGCAUCGAGAGGUCUGAGUAGCCAUUUUUCCCAGUGAGAUUGCUUGAGCCAAGCUGGAUGCUGGUUUGUCCCGAGGGAGCGAGUAAAUUGAUGCAGGUCCCAUCUUUGGUUUUCGAAGUUCUGCUGUGGCCAGAGGAAC